rnacentral:rRNA from 1 species
AUAACAAUACAGGACUCUUUCGAGGCCCUGUAACUGGAAUGAGUACACUUUAAAUCCUUUAACUAGGAUUUAUUGGAGGGUAAGUCUGGUGCAGAGUGACUGACCCGUGCGUGCUGCAGCUGAAA